GCCUACGGCCAAGCCACCCUGAACGUGCCUGAUCUUGUCUGAUCUCGGAAGCUAAGCUGGGUUGGGCCUGGUUAGUACUUGGGUAGGAGACCACCUAGGAAGACCAGGUGCUAUAGGCA
rnacentral:rRNA from 1 species